AGCGAACGCUGGCGGCAGGCCUAACACAUGCAAGUCGAACGAAGUCUUCGGACUUAGUGGCGGACGGGUGAGUAACACGUGGGAACGUGCCUUUAGGUUCGGAAUAACUCAGGGAAACUUGUGCUAAUACCGAAUGUGCCCUUCGGGGGAAAGAUUUAUCGCCUUUAGAGCGGCCCGCGUCUGAUUAGCUAGUUGGUGAGGUAAUGGCUCACCAAGGCGACGAUCAGUAGCUGGUCUGAGAGGAUGACCAGCCACAUUGGGACUGAGACACGGCCCAAACUCCUACGGGAGGCAGCAGUGGGGAAUCUUGCGCAAUGGGCGAAAGCCUGACGCAGCCAUGCCGCGUGAAUGAUGAAGGUCUUAGGAUUGUAAAAUUCUUUCACCGGGGACGAUAAUGACGGUACCCGGAGAAGAAGCCCCGGCUAACUUCGUGCCAGCCGCCGCCGUAAAAC
rnacentral:rRNA from 1 species